AACCAGAAUCAAAACCCAGUCCACUCCUCACAAUGCCUGGCAUGUGUUGAGGAAACAGGCUCAAAAGUUUGACUCCAUUCAAGGUCGUACAAUUAAUACAUGGCAAAAGAGGAACUCACAAAUGAUCACUGGCUUCAAAUUGAAGAUGUAUUCUACAAUGUCACAGCCAAGGAUUUUUGUGCUGGAGAUGCCCUUUAUAUCCUUCCCACUGUCACAUCCUAUUCUUAGAACAUAAACUCCAUCCACAGUCUUGGAAGGAGGGCAGCUUUCCAUCCAAAAUGACCCAGUGCUCAGCCCUGACCCAGUCCCGGCUCAGGAGUGGACAUCAGACCCAGGAGAAAGCCCAGUGUGACCAUCUCUCCAGGGAAUCCAGAGAGACCAGGCAACAUGAAGCUAUCAAAGAGUGCAAGGUAAAGGAUUGACAUGAUCAGUUUUAGAGAGAUGAUUCUGGUAGCAGAGGUAAGGACGGAUUGGACGGUGUCAGGUCUGAUGCAUGAGGUAGAGGGGACUUUUAGAGUAGUCCUGGCAAGAGAUGCUGAAUGGAGGUCUGAAGGAGGGCAGAGGCAGGAGGACAGAGAGGAAGCAGGAGAGCCAAAGGCUACGUCAUAAAUGCAGUCAGUGGGGCCUGUGGUCAGCAGGAGACAGGUGGGGCUAGGAGGGGUGGCAGGCUGGGCCCUACGCAGCUGAAGCACAACUUCUCAAGACCCUAGGCUCCUGCCCAGGGUCCCAGGCUUCAUUCAUGACAGGACAGCUAUUUGAUGGACAUGGCACUAGGCAGGCCACAGGCUCCUA